rnacentral:misc_RNA from 1 species
UUGGAAAGAAAGAAGAAAGAACAAAAGGGAAAAGAAAGAAAGAAAGAAAACCAAAGAAAAAGAAACCGAGAAAGGCUGCUCUCUACUGACAAUAGAAGAAGAACCAAGGACCAAAGCAAAAUCUUAGUGCAUGAAAAUCAUCACCAUUAUGAUUACAAUAUCAUCUUUAUGGCUAUAUUUUUAUUAUUUUAUUAUUUUAAGACAUCUGGAU